UGCCCAACAAUUCCUCAAUACAACCCAAUUCGGAUUUUUUUUAAAUUAUUAUUCAAAUUAAAUGACAAAAUUAAAAAGAAUAAUAAAAUGGAAAAGAGGAGAAUCGCAGGCGUUUGGAUACAGUGGAUGGGGUUUCAGAAAUUGAGACGGUUGGGCUUCACACGAGGAUUUCGAGUUCUCUUCUCUCUCUUUCUAACGGCGGUGCGAUUCUUCUACUCUCUCCUCCGUUCAUACAUAAACCUCCUAUGUCGAAGCUCCGCUCGCCUCCGUCAUCAACUCCUCUCAGUGAUUCCGUCUCUCCUAUCUUGCUUUUGUUCUCGUUCAACCAAACUCGCCGCCGCCAUGGCCUCUCUAAAACGGUCGGCGCUCAAACUUCAACAGCGGAGAACCUCGUCCGUUUCACAUCCGUAA